AGCAGCGAGCAUUACGGUCAUU
rnacentral:miRNA from 3 species